AUUGAACGCUGGCGGCAGGCUUAACACAUGCAAGUCGAGCGGGGUGAUGGUGCUUGCACUAUCACUUAGCGGCGGACGGGUGAGUAAUGCUUAGGAAUCUGCCUAUUAGUGGGGGACAACAUCUCGAAAGGGAUGCUAAUACCGCAUACGUCCUACGGGAGAAAGCAGGGGAUCACUUGUGACCUUGCGCUAAUAGAUGAGCCUAAGUCGGAUUAGCUAGUUGGUGGGGUAAAGGCCUACCAAGGCGACGAUCUGUAGCGGGUCUGAGAGGAUGAUCCGCAACACGGGGACUGAGACACGGCCCAGACUCCUACGGGAGGCAGCAGUGGGGAAUAUUGGACAAUGGGGGGAACCCUGAUCCAGCCAUGCCGCGUGUGUGAAGAAGGCCUUAUGGUUGUAAAGCACUUUAAGCGAGGAGGAGGCUCUUUUGGUUAAUACCCAAGAUGAGUGGACGUUACUCGCAGAAUAAGCACCGGCUAACUCUGUGCCAGCAGCCGCCGUAA
rnacentral:rRNA from 1 species